AACAGUGCACGAGACUACGGGCUCUUCCGCGCGACCUGAGGUGAUGAGUGAUGCACAACAGGAGCUUUCAAAAUAUUCAAACAAAAAAUGUAAGUGUGAUAUUUGCAGCUAUACAGAGACCGGCUGGCUAUCUGGAAAUGGAUUCCAAGAUUGUUAUUGCAGGAGUAAUGUGCUCUGGAGAGACUGUAGCUUGACUUCAUAAACAGCUGAAGCAGUUGAACAGAGAAGCCAAAGUUUGAAUAGGAUGUCUGCAAGAAAACGGCUAAAUGCAGAGAAGAGUUUCAGAGUGGUUGUCUGUCUGUGUGCCUGUGAGAACACACACUCACACACAGGUCUUACACACAUGCUCUCAACCAUAUAUAAAAAACAAUGUAUAUAUUAAGGGUUUGCACAACUUUUAUUGAUGUUUGUAUGAUUACUUUCUUUCAUUGUAUUACCUCACUCCAUUAUUCUUAUCUUGAUUUCUGCAAAAACCACAUUUUUCAAUUCCUCAGCGAACAGACCAGAACAUUCUGUCUCUUUAGAUGAACCCGGAGCCUCUAUCAAAGUGACACAGAUCAACAGAGUAGUUGUUGACACUGGAAGGUUGAUUGUUGAUUCGAAUGAGCUCACAGAUGUUACUUAAUUAGAUUCAUCAUCCUCGUUUACAAAAACAGAAUGAAAUGAUUCAAGUGAAACCAAAGUAUGCAAUACAGUCAAGAUGUUUUUAAACUUUGUUGUCAUUCUCCAGAGUCACAAGCCUCAUAUUAUAGACCUUGAUGCAGUCUUAAAUGAGGAGGCAUCUCAGAGAGAUGUUUAUGAGUCAACAACAAAGUCUCUGGUCGAAUAUCUAAUGCAGGGUUAUAAUGGCUGUGUAAUUGUCUAUGGCUCUCCGGGCAGCGGUAAGACUCACACCAUGCAAGGAUGCAGUGUGUCAGCCAAACACAGAGGCAUCAUCAGCCGCGCAGCUGAGGACAUCUUCGCCUGUAUCAAACCUUCAGGCUGUUGGAUUUAGAAAGUCACAUCUUAAGAUUUCAUGUUCUUUUGUAGACAAGAGAGACUUAUAACACAUACUGUAUAUUGCAAUAACAUUCCAUUCCUCAUUCACUGCAUCAGCAUCCUAGAACAAUCCUUAAUUUGAAUAAUCCAGCCCCCAAGGCAUCUCACUGCAAAAUCAGUGUCUCAUUUUACCACAUUUUCAAUGAAAAAAUAUAUGACCUAUUGGUAAGUAUUUUUGGAAUAAUUAAAUCACUGUAUCAGUUAAAUCAAUCAAUCACAAUUAUUCUACAUAAAUGCAUUUGGCAGAAUCUUUUUUUUUCUUAAGAGAAACGUACAUUGCACACAUUUAUCAGUUCAUGGGAACAUUCACAUGGCUGUGGUAUUUCUGGUGGCACUACAGGAAUGGAAUAUUAAGCCUCAUUAUCAUCAUAAAAUUUGAUUCUUAUUACAACAUUUUAAUGUUUUUGAAAGAAGUCUUAAUAAAAAAAUAAAAACAGUAAUAUUGUGUAAUAAUAUUACAAUUUAAAAUAAGU